UCACAAUCACAAUCCAAGAAAAACACCAAUCAAUCGUCAAGAACAAAGGCAAAUGGGGGGCAUCACUCUAGGCAACCCACAAGCAGUGUCUCAAUCUCACUAUCACACCCAUAAGAUCUUCUUGUUCUCGAACUACAUUCUACUGGGUGCAGCCUCCAGUUGCAUAUUUUUGACCCUUUCGCUUCGCUUGGUGCCUUCAAUAUGUGGGUUUUUUUCUCAUUCUGCUCCACAUUUUUACCAUUGUUGGUGCAGUUUCAGGUUGUGCUGCAGCGUCAUCAGGGACUAAUAGGUGGUACGCUGCACACAUGGUGGCCACAGUGCUGACAGCAAUAUUUCAAGGUUCAGUAUCGGUGUUGAUCUUUACUAGAACAGGGGAUUUCCUUUGGCAAUUGAAGUCAUAUGUAAGGGAAGAAGAUGGUGAGGUGAUACUGAAGCUAGCCGGUGGGUUGUGUGUGUUAAUUUUCUGCUUGGAGUGGGUGGUGCUUACUCUUGCAUUCUUCUUGAAGUACUAUGCCUAUGUGGAGGGUGAUGUUAGUGGUGGCAAUACUGAUAUGAAGAGAAGUGCUAAGGUGCAGCAAGAGGAGGACUUGAAGGAUUGGCCGUGGCCUUUCCAAGUCUAAAUUUAUAAUUUAUAUGGCUCGGGAAUUAAUAAAUAUGGAGAGUAUGGUAUUUGUUGUGGUGCUGCUGCCACAUGAUAUAUAUAUAUUUUUUUAUAUAUUUCUGUUCAUUCUAUCAUUUGUUUAUUUUUUUGGCCUCUAUUGGUUUUUAUGUAUGAAUGAGAAUAUUGUGCAAAAAAAAGCUAUUUUAUUGAAAGUCUCUUCCUUUCUUUCAAUUUCAAGCCACCAUGAUCCUGCGUUCAGGCUAUAAAAAGAAAUACAUUUUGCUUGUUUUGGACAGUUCAACUCAAUUGGAAAAGAAAACAAGUGGGAAACCCAAAGUUUGUUGUCAUAAUUCCAAAACCACUCCAAAAUCGGAAAUUUGAGUUGGGGAAAGGUCAAGAGCUUUUCAAAAGUACACAGCUCCAUUUCAAGCUGAUCAUUGUUGGAUUGAGCAAAUACUUAACAGUAUCAUUUUUAUCAAAAUGGACCUAAAAUUUCUCCACCAUAAAAGGGGAAAUCAAUAAUUGGAGAGGAAGCACUCCUGACCCAACCAGAAUCAGAUACUGAAUUGAAUUUGUAGAGAAGGCUUGCACCACCAGUCUCAUCUCGAACUCAAUCAAUGGUGUUAAGGUUGGAGGCGCUUCUUCAGUGAUCGCAUCCAAUUAAGCAGCACAACCCUUAAUUCCUUGAAGAAAAUCUUGCGGCUGCCAAUAUUUCUCAACAGGUUUUAGGUGACUUAAUAGGAUUCUUUUUUCAUUUUAUUUACUUCCACUAAAGUGGACUUGUACCCAAAUAGAUUUCAAC
rnacentral:misc_RNA from 1 species